rnacentral:rRNA from 1 species
GACGAACGCUGGCGGCGUGCUUAACACAUGCAAGUCGAACGGAAAGGCCCUGCUUUUGCGGGGUGCUCGAGUGGCGAACGGGUGAGUAACACGUGAGUAACCUGCCCUUGACUUUGGGAUAACUUCAGGAAACUGGGGCUAAUACAGGACAGGAGCUCCUGCUGCAUGGUGGGGGUUGGAAAGUUUCGGCGGUUGGGGAUGGACUCACGGCUUAUCAGCUUGUUGGUGGGGUAGUGGCGUACCAAGGCUUUGACGGGUAGCCGGCCUGAGAGGGUGACCGGCCACAUUGGGCCUGAGAUAGGGCCCAGACUGCUACGGGAGGCAGCAGUGGGGAAUAUUGCACAAUGGGCGGAAGCCUGAUGCAGCAACGCCGCGUGCUGGAUGACGGCCUUCGGGUUGUAAACCGCUUUCGCCUGUGACGAAGCGUGAGUGACGGUAAUGGGUAAAGAAGCACCGGCUAACUACGUG